rnacentral:tRNA from 4 species
UUUAUAUAGUUUAAAUAAAACAUUACAUCUUCACUGUAAAAAUAAAUUUGUUUUUUAUAA